CGCACAUUGCGCCUGCUGGUAUUCCAGCAGGCAUGCCUGUCCGAGCGUGAUUACGCCCUCACUGCCGUAAGGCUGUGGCCCUUGGGCCGGUCCUCGAUCGCGAGGGGCCCUAAAUGCAUCGUGCCCAGGCACCCCCAGUACUGCAGUCUGUCUUGCUGGGGCUGUCUCAUUUUUUCCUCGGAUCAGGCAGGAGGACCCGCUGAACUUAA
rnacentral:misc_RNA from 1 species